rnacentral:rRNA from 1 species
UACGUAGGGUGCAAGCGUUGUCCGGAAUUAUUGGGCGUAAAGAGCUCGUAGGCGGUCUGUCGCGUCUGCUGUGAAAACCUGGGGCUUAACCCCGGGCCUGCAGUCGAUACGGGCAGGCUGGAGUUCGGUAGGGGAGACUGGAAUUCCUGGUGUAGCGGUGAAAUGCGCAGAUAUCAGGGGGAACACCUAUUGCGAAGGCAGCUCGCUGGGACGUAACUGACGCUGAGACGCGAAAGCGUGGGGAGCAAACAGG